ensembl:lncRNA
CUCCAAUCCCUAUGGAGUUAGGGGGGGUCGAAUCGAGGGCGACCGGAGGAGGAGGCUCCUCCUGCACCAGUUGUGGUCGGAGAGGACACACUGCCGAUCGGUGCUGGAAGAGCUCGUCUGGGCGUCGGGAUGGUAGGCAGAGCACUUCUCGGUCACCCCAGGCCGGUGGUAGCUGGUCCCCUGCAGGAAGGUGAGGUGCCGGAGGUCCCUCCGCCCCCUCCGCCCCCCUCUGUACAUCGAGGGGUCCCCGGAGAGAAGACAAAGAGCAUGUGCUCUUGACCACUCCCACAAGAGGUCGCCGUGUCUUGGAGCACUCCACUCUCAGCCAGCACUGCAGGAGGUGAUGGACGUGGAGGGAGUGUGCCUGGAGGAAGAGGAGGAGGAGAAGGUGAGGGAGGUCACCAUCACCCAUGGAGAGGACUCGGAGCUCAGCGUCAGUUUCCAAGGGUACGCGGCUGAGCUCCGGCAGUGCCAGAGUCGAAUGAAGACCUCCCAGGUGCCCCUCAACACCCACGAUCAAUCAGAAGGGAACGAAGACUCCAAGACUGACAUAUACAAGGCCACCAUUGUGUGAGCUCUGAGGCUGACCAACCCUCACCAGCACUUUCCAAGCUUGAUUCACGGUCUGUUCAAACAGAAACUUACUUGAUGAACAAGGGACUUUUACUGUAAAAAACUGUCGUUUUUCAUGCCAGAACUGAUGUAUAUGUAUAAUAAUUGUAUGGUGAUAGAUAUUGUAUUAUUGAUCAUCACUGACUAUGCCGUACUGUUUAGUGGGUAUAUUCAUUUUCAAUAAGUGAUGAAAAGGAAAAUAAUUGCCAGUUAAAAUGUAUGAACAAUUUGGUUAUAACCUAUUGUUUGGAAAUGUAUUAGGAGAUACCUUGUUUUAGAUGGAUGCUGAUAAUACAGGUACUGUAAAACAGGGGCUAUAGAAUUAAGCCUUUUUCAGGUAGGUUAUAGGAUUCACACAUUGUAGGAACAUGAGAAACUCCUUGCAAUUCUAGUGCACGUUACUGUAUUAUUCUGGUCACACACUGAGUGUAAAAAACAUCAUGAACACCUGCUCUUUCCAUAAUAAUAGACUGACCAGAUGAAUCCAGGUGGAAAGCUAUGAUCUCUUAUUGAGGUCACUUGUUCAAUACAUUUCAAUCAGUGCAGAUGAAGUGGAUGAUGCAGGUUAAAUAAUGAUUUUUAAGCCUUGAGACAAUUGAGACAUGGAUUGUGUAUGUGUACCAUUCAGAGGGUGGAUGGGUAAGACAAAAUAUUUAAGUGCCUUUGAACAGGGUAUGGUAGUAGGUGCCAGGUGCCAGGUUUGUGUCAAGAACUGCAGGUGUUCUUAAUAUUUUGCACACUCAGUGUACACUGUUUCGUGGUGAACAAAAUAUGAUGCCUCUUCAUGUCUGUACAUUUGAUCUAUUAUGGUCUGGCUUGAUGUUUGGUUGUUCAAAUUCCACUCAAUAAACAUUCCCACCUUUGUAAUGCCA